GACGGUUCUUGGGUGACACACCACGGAAUCGGGCUCCCUCUUCUCUGGUUCCAGGUCCAUCACCUGAGAACUUCC
rfam:Myotis brandtii contig245075, whole genome shotgun sequence.